GUGCUUGCACUAGAUGAAACUAGAUACAAGCGAGCGGCGGACGGGUGAGUAACACGUGGGUAACCUGCCCAAGAGACUGGGAUAACACCUGGAAACAGAUGCUAAUACCGGAUAACAACACUAGACGCAUGUCUAGAGUUUGAAAGAUGGUUCUGCUAUCACUCUUGGAUGGACCUGCGGUGCAUUAGCUAGUUGGUAAGGUAACGGCUUACCAAAGCAAUGAUGCAUAGCCGAGUUGAGAGACUGAUCGGCCACAUUGGGACUGAGACACGGCCCAAACUCCUACGGGAGGCAGCAGUAGGGAAUCUUCCACAAUGGACGAAAGUCUGAUGGAGCAACGCCGCGUGAGUGAAGAAGGGUUUCGGCUCGUAAAGCUCUGUUGGUAGUGAAGAAAGAUAGAGGUAGUAACUGGCCUUUAUUUGACGGUAAUUACUUAGAAAGUCACGGCUAACUACGUGCCAGCAGCCGCGGUAAUACGUAGGUGGCAAGCGUUGUCCGGAUUUAUUGGGCGUAAAGCGAGUGCAGGCGGUUCAAUAAGUCUGAUGUGAAAGCCUUCGGCUCAACCGGAGAAUUGCAUCAGAAACUGUUGAACUUGAGUGCAGAAGAGGAGAGUGGAACUCCAUGUGUAGCGGUGGAAUGCGUAGAUAUAUGGAAGAACACCAGUGGCGAAGGCGGCUCUCUGGUCUGCAACUGACGCUGAGGCUCGAAAGCAUGGGUAGCGAACAGGAUUAGAUACCCUGGUAGUCCAUGCCGUAAACGAUGAGUGCUAAGUGUUGGGAGGUUUCCGCCUCUCAGUGCUGCAGCUAAC
rnacentral:rRNA from 1 species